GUAGGGUAACCUGCCCAAGAGAUCGGGAUAACACCUGGAAACAGAUGCUAAUACCGGAUAACAACAGAUGAUGCCUAUCAACUGUUUAAAAGAUGGUUCUGCUAUCACUCUUGGAUGGACCUGCGGUGCAUUAGCUAGUUGGUAGGGUAACGGCCUACCAAGGCGAUGAUGUAUAGCCGAGUUGAGAGACUGAUCGGCCACAUUGGGACUGAGACACGGCCCAAACUCCUACGGGAGGCAGCAGCC
rnacentral:rRNA from 1 species